rnacentral:rRNA from 1 species
UACGUAGGGGGCUAGCGUUAUCCGGAUUUACUGGGCGUAAAGGGUGCGUAGGUGGCUUCUUAAGUCAGGAGUGAAAGGCUACGGCUCAACCGUAGUAAGCUCUUGAAACUGGGAAACUUGAGUGCAGGAGAGGAAAGUGGAAUUCCUAGUGUAGCGGUGAAAUGCGUAGAUAUUAGGAGGAACACCAGUAGCGAAGGCGGCUUUCUGGACUGUAACUGACACUGAGGCACGAAAGCGUGGGGAGCAAAUAGG